GCUUUGUUUUUUCAUAUAAUAUUCAUGUACUUGAUAGACCAAAUACUUCAAUCGUUAUGUAUGAUCUUUAAAUAAACUGAAAUUGUACACCAUGAAUACCUCAUAAUUUGUUUCAUUCAUAUUUAAAAAGCAAGGUGUUUUCUUUUCUUCAAGUAACGUAAUUCGAUUAAAUUGACAAUAGUGGAUUUCAUGCAUGUAGGUGCAUAUUUUUAGUCUUAUAUUACAUGAUAUCAAUAAACCUAUAUGUGAUUUAGUAAUACUUGUUUGUAGUAAUUAAAAACAUACGAAACAAAGAAAAAGGAUUACAUGAUUUAUACAAGGAUACAAAAGAAGUUACCUUUUGACAGGAAGGAAUACACGAAUAUGUUUAAUAUUUCAUGCAAUAAAAAGAACAUAUGAAUAAUACUUAAUUAUAUGAGUAUUAUUAAACGUUAAAACUUUAUGAUGUAAACAUGUUGAAAUACCGAAACUUAUCUCGAACGUCCUUGUGUGUAUUGAAAAGGCGGAAAACUUUAUAUAUAAUCAUUUACAAUGAAGCAGCAGAAACAACGCAUUAAAAACCGAAAAGAAUUUCAAUAAUUUGAAAAGGACACAAAAAUGAAUAUAAAGAUAAAUAUAUUUGGAAAUUGGUGAAAGAUGAAAAUUUCAUCUGCAUCUUAAUUGCAAAUUGACAUUGAAAAGAACAGAUAUAUAGAUACAUUAACGCUGAGAUGAGCAUUGUCAGUUAUUGGUAUAUCUUGCAGUGCUCGGUAUUUUAGGAAUAAAGUAUUGCAAAAAGUUUUAAUAUAUUCAUUUCUCCAACUCAAACCUAAUAACAACUAGAUAUUUUAUAAUCAUCAGACAUGGUGUCGUAUUUAUUUUGCUAUUCAGAUUAAACGUAUAAAUCUGUGCAAAUGGAAGGAACGAUCGAUGUAAAAAAUUACUCGAUUACUUUAGACAAUAUUCUCGAAACUAUUGGUGCGUCAGAAUACGUCCGUCGAACACAACAACAUGGAUAUAUCAUGCAAGAACUUCUGAUCUCUGCAACCCAACCUAUAAAUUUGGUAGUGCAGUUGAAGGAACAACAACUUCUGGUCUAAACUUUGAUCAAGACUGUCUGAUAUGCGUUGACCGUCCUCCGGUAAUCGGAGAAAUUUCCAAAAAGGGUUUGACAGAAUACCUUUUAAUGAUAACAGAUGAAAAUACACUCCUGGAUACACAAAGCUACAAAAUGUCGUCAACAAUGAACCACUGAAUCUUGAAGAGAUGGAGGAUGAAGAUGAAGGAAUCGAUAUAAUGGGAAACCGGGUUUUAGGGAAUAGAUUUCUGAUAGAAAGCAUGACAAACGAUGAGAUACAUGGACCUGCGGGAACCACUUUGAAAAGUAAAAAAUUGCCAGGAGUCCCAGAUCUAGACUUUGUGCCGUCAUACAGAUGUCGGACAUGGCCAAGACAGGCUUAUAGUUGGUUAUCCAGACAACGCCCAUACGGCAUUCCAAAUGCUGAGAUGAUUGGAAAAUUCACUACUUAUGGAUGCUUUUUAGUUCCUGUUGGUCAGUACGUGAGCCCCGAAAAACAUUUACAAUGGAAACUUUCAUUUUCAUUCCAGGAACGACAGAUAAUCUUCAGUAUGAGCUCAAUUCAAUUUAAAACUUUCAUUUCCUUGAAGAUGAUCAAAAACAAUUUUGUAAAAGCCAGAGUACCUCCAAAAUCGCUGACGUCGUACCAUUGUAAAACGUGCAUGUUCUAUAUUAUGGAAACUUCUCCGUCUAGCAUAUGGACGUCAGAAAAUCUGGUUCAGUGUAUCAGUCUGUGCUUACAAAAGCUUUUUCAGUGGUUUAAAAAUGGCUUCAUUCCAAGUUACUUCAUUGCAGAGGAAAACCUUUGGAAAGGAAAUACUGAUACACGUGAAACAAUUGUGGAUAUUUUGGGAUCACUCCUAGAAACUACACCAAUAUAUCUUACAGAGAUCAAGUGUGAUUCCACUACAAACCAGUAAAAGUCUGAAAUGGCCUAUAUCUGUACUCGACUGUACUGAUUUUUACUCGACCAGUCUGAAUUGGUCUGAAUUUUACUCGACAUUACUCGACCCCAGUCUUAACCUUACUCGACCGUACUGAUUUGUACUUGACCCUUAUCUUUGCCAUUGAAAAUAGUCUGAACUAUUACCCGACCAGUCUGAAACAGUCUUAACCCAUUCUCGACCUGUACUCGACCAAUUUUUUCAGUCUAAACCAUACUCGACCAAAGGUCUGAACAAUUCUCGACCAGUCUGAACCAUACUUGACCAAAAAACCUAUACUUUUUUUAAUUUUAGCUUUCAAAAUUAAUUUCUUUUUUCUGACAUGACAACAGCCACAAUAAAAUAAAGAUAAUAUAUAAAAACAUAUUUUUACAUCCUUACAUGAUUCUCAGAUUUAUCAAAUAGAGAUAGUUAAAUUAAAUUAUCUUAUACAAUAAUUUAAUUAUAUUAAUUGAUUUUAAAGUUUUAUAGUUUUGUUAAAAAAAUGAUUUUCUUUUAACUAAAAACCACACCUUUACUGAGGGUAAUAAAACCUUAUUAACAUGAUUAAGGUGCUUCUUGUUUGGCAUUUUUUUUUUUUUUUUUUAAACUUAAUUUUCCUAAAUUCCUAAAGAAAAACUAUAUAGGUUUCAUGGUUACAUACAAUAGUUAUAUAAUUAUCUUUUUAAUGAGGUAACAACAGCCAAAAAAUCACUGAAAUUGUUUAACCUUAUAUUAGAAAUAUACCUAUUCUUAAUAUAAUUUGGGAUAUAUUAUAUAUUAUAUAUAUCAAAAAGGGAUAAAGAAAUUAAAGAAAUAGAUAAAAAAAAUUCUUCUGAUUAGUGGUAAAGUAUAAAGUAAUACCUCCUGCUUGGGGCAAACUCAUUAAAAAGGUCACACCUGGUCAGAGAGUAUUAAUUUCUAAUUAACAUUCAUUAAACAUUGCAACAUCCUGUAAAACUUAAAUCGCAAGGCCUUUUGAAUUCACUAGAUAAGUAAUACACGAGUUUAAGAAAAAAAGGGCUUUCUUUUUACCUGUAAAACACACAUGUACUGAGGUAAUUAAACCUUAUUAAAGUGCUUCUUGUAUGCCAUGUCUUUAAUUUUGACAAAAGUUAUUUAAAUUUAAUUGAAAUAAAUUUUUUCUGCAACUUUGGAACACAUUUCCUUUUUUAAAUGGUUAUCAAGGAUUGCUAUGAAAGUUCUAUUAUCAUGAUUAUAUUAAAUUCUUGGUUUUACAAAACAAAGGUGUAAUUUUAAAAAUUUAUUAAGUUGCUUUAUAUACUAUUUUAAAUAUAUUUUAAUAAAAAAAAUGUUCACUGCAUUAUUAACUAAACUCAACUGACACCAUAAAUCUAUACAAGGCUUAAGUAAAUGGUGAAAAUUGUCCAGUAACCAAAAAAUAUAUCUGAAACAUUCAAAAAAAUUGGAAUAACAUUGAAAAUAUUAGUCACAAUUCAGUUUUGAGAUUAUUUGAUUAGCUUGUUUUAUUUUUAUUUUAAAGGUGAUAUAUAUAUGUAAGUGUUGAUAAAUAUGGUGUUGAAUUUAUAUUAUGUUUAUUGUGAAAUUUUGGUUUCAAUGCCAUAUUGAAUACAUUUUAAAUUUCAUUAAUCGUUGUUCAAAUUUCUAGCCAGGGGAAAUAGCUGUUAAAAACAAUUCCUAAAAUGAUUAAAUACAAUAGAUAGAUACAAAAAUUAGGUCUAGGUUGGUUAAGACUUAGUCGAGUAUGGUUCAGACUAGGUCGAGUAUGGUUCAGACUAGGUCGAGUAUGGUUCAGACUAGGUCGAGCAUGGUUCAGACGAAAAUAAAAU